rnacentral:rRNA from 1 species
UGGGGAAUAUUGGACAAUGGGCGCAAGCCUGAUCCAGCAAUGCCGCGUGGGUGAAGACGGCCUGCGGGUUGUAAAGCCCUUUAGGCGGGGAGGAACGGCGGCACGCAAACAGUGUGUCGUUUUGACGUUACCCGCAAAAUAAGCACCGGCUAACUCCGUGCCAGCAGCCGCGGUAAUACGGAGGGUGCGAGCGUUAAUCGGAAUUACUGGGCGUAAAGCGUGCGUAGGCGGAUGGGUCAGUCAGCCGUGAAAGCCCCGGGCUCAACCUGGGAACGGCGGUUGAGACGGCCCGUCUCGAGUGGGCUAGAGGAUUGUGGAACUCCCGGUGUAGCGGUGAAAUGCGUAGAGAUCGGGAAGAACACCGAUGGCGAAGGCAGCAAUCUGGGGCCACACUGACGCUGAGGCACGAAAGCGUGGGGAGCAAACAGG